CCUACGGGGGGCAGCAGUGAGGAAUAUUGGUCAAUGGCCGGAAGGCUGAACCAGCCAAGCCGCGUGAGGGAGGAAGGCGCAGAGCGUCGCAGACCUCUUUUGCCGGGGGACAAAAGGCCGGACUCGUCCGGUCCUGCGGGUACCCGGAGAAACAGCAUCGGCUAAAUCCGUGCCAGCAGCCGCGGUAAUACGGAGGGGGCGAGCGUUAUCCGGAGUGAUUGGGUUUAGGGGGUGGGCAGGCGGGGCUUUAAGCCGGCUGUGAAAGCGCGGGGUUCAACCCCGGGACUGCAGUUGGAACGGGGGGGCUGGAGUGGUGGAGAGGCAGGCGGAAAUCCUAGUGUA
rnacentral:rRNA from 1 species